AGGAAACACAAUGCCUUUGUGGUCCUUGCUGGUGCUUUUGGCUCUCCCAGACCCAACCGUGAGCACCAACCCUGGAGUCAAGGUCCAAAUUAACCAGCAAGUCUUGGACUAUGUUGGUUGUACAACCUUUUUACAAGGUUCAUUGAUCAAGCUUUGCGUGAUUCUUUACAGACCCAGGUCUGCCCAUUGAUGCAAACUGAC